rnacentral:tRNA from 1 species
UCUAAUGAGGCAGAUUAGUGCAAUGA